CUCUUCUACAUACCUUCCUUCUUUUGUUUUUAAUCUAACUAAUCCUUGUUUUACUUUUCUUUUCUCAUUUAUGUAUCUAAAAAAUGUUUUAUCCCCCUUUUUUACUGACUGUGCUAUUUUCUCUUCUGUGUGUGAUUUGGAAGCUCUUAUAACUUGCUUAGCCUCUUUCUGCCUAAUCUUAUAGAUCAUUUUGUCUUCCUCACUCUGGGUUUUUUUAUAAUUCCUAAAUGCUAACUUUAUGUUUUUAACUAUUUUGGCCACAUCUGCGGAGUACCACAGUGGUUUCUUGAAUUUUUUGCUUUUACUGACAAGCCUAAUUCUGUUGCCUUCAAUAGUGCAACUUUUAAAUAAUCCCAUUUCUCUUGGACUCCAUUUAAAUUGCUUCAGUCUGAUAAUGACUCCUCUACCCAUAUUCUAAUUUUAGAAAAGUCUGUUUUUCUAAAGUCUAAAACUUUUGUUUUUGUGUGGUGUGACUCAGUCACUGUUCUUAUAUUAAACCACACUGACUGAUGAUCACUGGAUCCCAAACUUUCACCUACAGUAAUAUCUGAUACCAAAUCUCCAUUUGUUAACAUUAAAUCUAGCAUGGCCUCUUUACGAGUUGGCUCCUCAACAACUUGUUUUAGAGACAAUCCCAGUAGGGAGUUUAGAAUAUGUGUGCUCCUGGCACAAGUAGCUAAUUUUGUUUUCCAAUUUACAUCAGGAAGAUUAAAGUCACCCAUGAUGAUAA